rnacentral:rRNA from 1 species
GAUGAACGCUGGCGGCGUGCCUAAUACAUGCAAGUCGAGCGAACAGACGAGGAGCUUGCUCCUCUGACGUUAGCGGCGGACGGGUGAGUAACACGUGGAUAACCUACCUAUAAGACUGGGAUAACUUCGGGAAACCGGAGCUAAUACCGGAUAAUAUAUUGAACCGCAUGGUUCAAUAGUGAAAGACGGUUUUGCUGUCACUUAUAGAUGGAUCCGCGCCGCAUUAGCUAGUUGGUAAGGUAACGGCUUACCAAGGCAACGAUGCGUAGCCGACCUGAGAGGGUGAUCGGCCACACUGGAACUGAGACACGGUCCAGACUCCUACGGGAGGCAGCAGUAGGGAAUCUUCCGCAAUGGGCGAAAGCCUGACGGAGCAGCGCCGCGUGAGUGAUGAAGGUCUUCGGAUCGUAAUACUCUGUUAUUAGGGAAGAACAAAUGUGUAAGUAACUAUGCACGUCUUGACGGUACCUAAUCAGAAAGCCACGGCUAACUACGUG